rnacentral:rRNA from 1 species
UACGUAGGUGGCGAGCGUUGUCCGGAUUUACUGGGCGUAAAGGGAGCGUAGGCGGACUUUUAAGUGAGAUGUGAAAUACCCGGGCUCAACUUGGGUGCUGCAUUUCAAACUGGAAGUCUAGAGUGCAGGAGAGGAGAAUGGAAUUCCUAGUGUAGCGGUGAAAUGCGUAGAGAUUAGGAGGAACACCAGUGGCGAAGGCGACUACCUGGCCUGUUCUUGACGCUGAGGCGCGAAAGCUAGGGGAGCAAACGGG